rnacentral:rRNA from 1 species
UACGUAGGGUGCGAGCGUUUGUCCGGAAUUAUUGGGCGUAAAGAGCUCGUAGGCGGCUUGUCACGUCGGGUGUGAAAGCCCCGGGGGCUUAACCCCCGGGUCUGCAUUCGAUACGGGCUAGCUAGAGUGUGGUAGGGGAGAUCGGAAUUCCUGGUGUAGCGGUGAAAUGCGCAGAUAUCAGGAGGAACACCGGUGGCGAAGGCGGAUCUCUGGGCCAUUACUGACGCUGAGGAGCGAAAGCGUGGGGGAGCGAACAGG